CUCUAAAGGCUCCUAGCGAUCCCCUCAGCCUUUUGGCACACACACAGCACUGCUGCCAGAAAGCAGGACUUGCAGGUGAUCACAGAGAGCCACUGUCACAGGGGACCCCGGGAGGCCUCAGCUGCUCCUUCAGAUGGAUUGUUUGCAAGCAUGGGACACACCUCCGAAGGGAUGGUAGGGAUACCCCCUCCAUCAGCCACCUGCAAGAGCUGCCUUCAGCAAGAGCACCUACACACGCUUUUCUCCCAAACGGGAGAGGAAAUCAAUCCUCUCUGCGCUCCUCGCUCCCCAGGGCCGGCAUGUCGCCGCUCAGGCCGGGGAAGAAGGGCACAGCGAGCAGCUGCGAUCCCGGGCCUUCCCCCCAGCUAAGCCCUGCGGUUCACCCCUCCCGCCCCGGUGUGUGGGCCGAGCCCUCCCUGCCUGGCACCGGGAGAUGGGAUCUGCCCGCGGGAAUUCCCCACGCAGCCACUGCGGGCGCUUCCCGGCCCUCGGCUGCAAAAGGGCUCCGGCAUCCGACAUUUACUUCUUCACCUAGAGAGCCAUAACAAUGGGCAGAAAUGACCUCUCUGAACACAGCAGUGCUGACCUAUUUCAGAUCUUGUGAAUGGCAUGCACCAUUUAUCUGCCACUUCUUCAACCAGUUCAAGUCAAGCAUCAGUGUCCAUGAUCCUGAAUCCCUCAAGCCAAAGGAACACAAAGGAAUAUGCUUUGGGUGUUCUUGGUGGGGUAAGACCAAAAUCAGUUUCUCAGCAGAUAAGGAAGAAGAAAAUUUAAUU